GAGUUUGAUCCUGGCUCAGGAUGAACGCUGGCGGCGUGCUUAACACAUGCAAGUCGAACGAAGCACCUUAUUUGAUUUUCUUCGGAACUGAAGAUUUGGUGACUGAGUGGCGGACGGGUGAGUAACGCGUGGGUAACCUGCCCUGUACAGGGGGGUAACAGUUAGAAAUGACUGCUAAUACCGCAUAAGACCACGGCACCGCAUGGUGCAGGGGUAAAAACUCCGGUGGUGUGAGAUGGACCCGCGUCUGAUUAGCUAGUUGGUGGGGUAACGGCCUACCAAGUCGACGAUCCAUAGCCGGACUGAGAGGUUGAACGGCCACAUUGGGACUGAGACACGGCCCAAACUCCUACGGGAGGCAGCAGUGGGGAAUAUUGCACAAUGGGGGAAACCCUGAUGCAGCGACGCCGCGUGAGCGAAGAAGUAUUUCGGUAUGUAAAGCUCUAUCAGCAGGGAAGAAGAAAUGACGGUACCUGACUAAGAAGCCCCGGCUAACUACGUGCCAGCCGCCGCGGUAAUUC
rnacentral:rRNA from 1 species